GAUGAACGCUGGCGGCGUGCCCAAUACAUGCAAGUCGAGCGAAUGGAUUAAGAGCUUGCUCUUAUGAAGUUAGCGGCGGACGGGUGAGUAACACGUGGGUAACCUGCCCAUAAGACUGGGAUAACUCCGGGAAACCGGGGCUAAUACCGGAUAACAUUUUGAACCGCAUGGUUCGAAAUUGAAAGGCGGCUUCGGCUAUCACUUAUGGAUGGACCCGCGUCGCAUUAGCUAGUUGGUGAGGUAACGGCUCACCAAGGCAACGAUGCGUAGCCGACCUGAGAGGGUGAUCGGCCACACUGGGACUGAGACACGGCCCAGACUCCUACGGGAGGCAGCAGUAGGGAAUCUUCCGCAAUGGACGAAAGUCUGACGGAGCAACGCCGCGUGAGUGAUGAAGGCUUUCGGGUCGUAAAACUCUGUUGUUAGGGAAGAACAAGUGCUGGUUGAAUAAGCUGGCACCUUGACGGUACCCAACCAGAAAGCCACGGCUAACUACGUGCCAGCAGCCGCCGUAA
rnacentral:rRNA from 1 species